AUGGAAAGGUUUUUUACAGCAAGGGUAAUGAAGCACUGACACAGGUUGCCCUGGGGGGUGGGGGCUGCUCUGUUUCUGGAGACACUCAAGGUCAAGCUGGAAGGGGCUCUGAGCACCUGAUUGAGACAUAGGCAUCCCUGUUCAGUGCAGAGGCAUUGGACCAGAUGGCCUUUAGGGCGUCCCUUCCAACUGAAAUAAUUCUAUGACUCUACUUUUCAGAACCCUACUUCUGCUCUAGCAGAGAAGGGAGCCCUCCUUCUGAGCUCUGAGUGCCAGGAGCAUACAUUCAACUGUGCCUUUACUGCCAUCCCAGGCUGACAGGCACGCCCAAGCACCUCAUUAAUCCAAGCAGAGACGUUUCAGGUGCCAUGUUUAAAACGUGCCAAUUAAAACUGCAACUGCUCACAGUAUGAUAAUAACUGUCACACAGUGAGCUCUGAUCCCCGUUAUUUUCCCAUUAGCUGAUGCUCGCUGACUCUUUGUCAGCCAGCUGCUGAUUGGGGAGCUGUCUAGACGAUGAAUUAUCUUAUUUAGGGUUGAGCUAAUUCACGUUGUAUCCCUAAUGAAACCGAAGUUCACCUGCGUGAUGCUGACCUAACCCUACCCCCAGGCGUUCCGUGGAGGCAGCGCAGUGCAGCAGUCGGCAGAGGGCGGCGUGGGAGCGGUGCGGUCAUAAGCAGAGCCCGAGGCUGCCCCGGGGCUGCGGGCUGCUGCUGGGGGCUGUCCCGAUCCGACUCCGUGUUCUGAAAGAGAAGCUGCUCAGCUCCUGGAAUGCAUGUUGUGAAGCUGAAGGCACUAUUGAAGAUGCUGGAGAGUUGCUGUGUCUGGAUAUCAAGUAUUAUCCCACACUGGUUUUCAGUAGGACAAAAUGCCAUCCGAUUCUUUCCCCUCUUGAACAAACUUGUGCUAACAAAAUAACAGAAAGGAAGGAAGAAAAAAAACCACACAGAAAUAUGUGAGCUCUGCUGAGAAUGAGUCAAUCCCUGAAACCCAGCAGGGGCACUGGCUGCUCUUCUUAUGGAGCUCAGUGGCUUUCAUCCCAAUUCAAGAGUCUCCUACUCCUCCCUCCCAGCUGAAGGCAGAUGUGGGUUCACUGGCAACACUGGGCCUUGUUCUCCGUGAGUGUUUAAAGCCUGAGCAAUCAUUUUAAAUUGAAAGCAGAGGUGGUGAUGCUGUUACAAGAUUGUCUAGAGCAGCAAUUCCCAAAUUGUAAGACAUGAGCACAUUUACAGGAAAGAGUUUUCAUGAAGCUUGGACUAGAAAUCUGCAGAGAAAAGCAGGACUAUGGUGCAGAGCAGCAUCUUCUCAGAGCAUACACUAAAAAAUGCUCAAAAG
rnacentral:lncRNA from 1 species